GCAUAUCAUAAGCGGAGGAAAAGAAACCAACAGGGAUUGCCCUAGUAACGGCGAGUGAAGCGGCAACAGCUCAAAUUUGAAAUCUGGCCUUCGGGUCCGAGUUGUAAUUUGCAGAGGGAUGCUUCGGGUGAGGUGCCUUCCAAGUCCCCUGGAACGGGGCGCCGGAGAGGGUGAGAGCCCCGUACGGUUGGCGGCCAAGCCUGUGUGAAGCUCCUUCGACGAGUCGAGUAGUUUGGGAAUGCUGCUCUAAGCGGGAGGUAGACCCCUUCUAAAGCUAAAUACCGGCCAGAGACCGAUAGCGCACAAGUAGAGUGAUCGAAAGAUGAAAAGCACUUUGAAAAGAGGGUUAAACAGCACGUGAAAUUGUUGAAAGGGAAGCGCUUGUGACCAGACGUGCGCCGGGGUGUUCAGCGGGCGUUCUCGCCCGUGCACUCGCCUCGGCGCAGGCCAGCGUCGGUUUGGGUGGGGGGAUAAAGGCGCCUGGAAUGUAGCUCCUUCGGGAGUGUUAUAGCCAGGCGUGCCAUGCCUCCGUCCGGACCGAGGUACGCGUUCUGCAAGGACGCUGGCGUAAUGGUCUCCAGCGACCCGUCUUGAAACACGGACCAAGGAGUCGAGGUUUUGCGCGAGUGUUUGGGUGAAAAACCCGCACGCGUAAUGAAAGUGAACGUAGGUGGGAGCUUAGGCGCACCACCGACCGAUCCUGAUGUUUUCGGAUGGAUUUGAGUAAGAGCGUAGGGCCUCGGACCCGAAAGAUGGUGAACUAUGCUUGGAUAGGGUGAAGCCAGAGGAAACUCUGGUGGAGGCUCGCAGCGGUUCUGACGUGCAAAUCGAUCGUCAAAUCUGAGCAUGGGGGCGAAAGACUAAUCGAAUCAUCUAGUAGCUGGUUAUCGCCGA
rnacentral:rRNA from 1 species